AGCUCAAGCACAAGAAUCGUAAUCGCAGCUCACGUACAAAUAGACAUAAAUUAUGUUCUAUCAAACUCAACGCUGUGGGUGAAAGUCCCCGGAGCCUCUUUUCACAUCUUAGAAUUUCCUCUUUUCAAUCCUCUUUCCCUCACUUGAUAGAUUAUUCUAAAUGGAGAUUCAAAGUCUAUAUCCAUUAAUUUGAAUCUCAAUUCAAGGAAUGAAAUUGUGGGAAUAUGGAAGAUUCCGAAAGGACUUGUAUGUGAAAUUACAUGAUUAAUCUUUCAUUCCUUCCCCUGAUUUAUUCUGGAAAUUCAAAUGAACGAUAUUCCGUCUUUCUCCGUUUACGAACACUUCUUCAAGUUGAAGAAGAGGGUUGUCAAGAUCAAUUUAAACAAUAUGAUUUUUUAUCUAUCUUCCAAGUAAGGGUUUCUUAUAUCCUGAAAGGAAAAUUUAAAGAUGAACAUAUUGGAUCUUGCCGAGGUUUUUCGAAAUUUCUUCUAUUUAUCAUUUCUUAUACAGGCGAAGAUACGAGCCGUUAAGAAUUAAAAUGAUCAAUUGGAAGAACUAGAGAUGAAAUUGAAAAGAUGAAAAUACGUGCUCAUAGAUUAUAGUAAUACGAUUGUCUAUCUUACUUCACUCUUUCAUUUAGAAGGGUGAAGGAUAGAUAACUCGAUGGGGCUUACUCUGUGUUUUUCUUGGGC
rnacentral:ncRNA from 2 species